UGUUGAUAAAUGUGUACUGUUCCUGUAAAAAUAAAACGUAAGAAUAAUCAUUAAAAGGACUGGGUAAUGUAUAGAAUAUCAAGGUCCAGAGUGUAUAACUGGGUAAUGUAUAGAAUAUCAAGGUCCAGAGUGUAUAACUGGGUAAUGUACAUGUUGAGGUCCAGAGUGUAUAACUGGGUAAUGUAUAGAAUAUCAAGGUCCAGAGUAUAUAACUGGGUAAUGUACAUGUUGAGGUUCAGAGUGUAUAACUAACUGGGUAAUGUACAUGUUGAGGUGUAAGCAUCUUUCACAUUUCACAGGUGUUAGCAUCUUUCACAUUUCACAGGUGUUAGCAUCUUUCACAUUUCACAAGAGGAGGGGACAUUUGGUCCAUAUUCUUGCCUGUAACUUGGAAAGAGAGGGUGGAGCUCUUUGUUCCGGUUCAUUCCAUCUCUUCUCUUAAAGCCCAUGCAGUUGUUGAAAGUGUAUUUUUAAAUCAUCAUUGUACGGCUAAUAAAUCACUGUUUAUUUCAUGAAAAUAACAUAAAAUAUAUUUUGGUCAUUUAUUUCCCCGAGCCUCAUUUUGCCAUUGAAAUGCUCAGUCUGAUCAUGUGGCCGUGUUGAUACAAAUGUAAUGUACAGAGCCCUGAUUGGCAGAUAGGAUGGUCCAGACUUGGGUUUCCCAAACUCGGUGCUGGGGCCCCUUGGGUGGACCUUUUGCUUUGUCCCCCAGCACUACUCCGCUGAUUCAGAUAAUCACAGCUUGAUGAUGAGUUGGUUAUUUGAAUCAGCUGUGUAGUUCAAAAACCAAAGUGUGCACCUAGGGGGGGGGG
rnacentral:lncRNA from 13 species